rnacentral:rRNA from 1 species
AGCAGUCGCCGCGGUAAUACGAAGGGGGCUAGCGUUGUUCGGAUUUACUGGGCGUAAAGCGCACGUAGGCGGAUCGAUCAGUCAGGGGUGAAAUCCCAGAGCUCAACUCUGGAACUGCCUUUGAUACUGUCGAUCUGGAGUAUGGAAGAGGUGAGUGGAAUUCCGAGUGUAGAGGUGAAAUUCGUAGAUAUUCGGAGGAACACCAGUGGCGAAGGCGGCUCACUGGUCCAUUACUGACGCUGAGGUGCGAAAGCGUGGGGAGCAAACAGGAUUAGAUACCCCAGUAGUCCCUGUCUCUUAUAC